GAAAAGACUGGAAAUGUAUACAUCAUAUAGAAAUAGCUAUAGAGAUAGAGACAGAUAUAAAUAUAGAUGUUUGGCACCAUGGUGGAAAUAACAGAUCAGCUGACUUGCAUUUCUUUCCUCUGCCAGGAGCCCUGCUUGCCAAAUGGAAGAAAGGAACCAAUGCUGACUGGAGAUCUCACUGGAUGCUUUUCCACCAACUUUUUGUUCAGCCUAUGAUGAGAAAAUUGAGUCCCAGAGAUGCCAAGUAGCAUGCCCAAAGCCACAUGGCUAGUAAGUAGCAGAUCCAGAAUAAUUCCUGUGUGAGAGCUUUUAACCCAACCCAGAGCAACCACUCAUAACUUGCCAUUUCUGAUGAAUCAAGCUGCCAUAUGUCAAGCUGUCCUAUGGGAAAUCCCACAUGCAAGAACUGAGUGUACUUCCAGCCAACAGCCAGAGAGGAACUGAGGUUCUCAAUCCAACAACCUGCGAGGAACAGCAUCCCAUCAGCAGCCAUGUGAGUGAGAUUGGAAGCAGGUCCUUCCCCAGUCAAGCCUGAAUUGACUGCAGCCCCAUUCAAGAUUUUGAGUACAGUUUUGCAUGAGACCUCAAGCAGGAAGACCCGACUAAGCCAUAUCUGGGUUCCAGACCUACACACACUGUGAGAUCAUAAAUGUCUUAGGUCACUAAACAUGAGGGCAAUUUGUUAUGUAGCAGUAGGUAACUAAUACAUAUCCUUUGCUAUUUUUCUAUUUUUUUUAUUUGUAGGCAUUCUAUACAACAUGGUUAAAUCUCUUUUGCAUGUUAUAUACAUUGCAGAUA